rnacentral:rRNA from 1 species
CGACGCCGCGUGAGGGAGUGACGGCCUUCGGGUGUAAACCUCUUUCAGCUCCGACGAAGCGUAAGUGACGGUAGGAGCAGAAGAAGCGCCGGCCAACUACGUGCCAGCAGCCGCGGUAAGACGUAGGGCGCGAGCGUUGUCCGGAUUUAUUGGGCGUAAAGAGCUCGUAGGCGGCUUGUCGCGUCGACUGUGAAAACCCGCAGCUCAACUGCGGGCCUGCAGUCGAUACGGGCAGGCUAGAGUUCGGUAGGGGAGACUGGAAUUCCUGGUGUAGCGGUGAAAUGCGCAGAUAUCAGGAGGAACACCGGUGGCGAAGGCGGGUCUCUGGGCCGAUACUGACGCUGAGGAGCGAAAGCGUGGGGAGCGAACAGGAUUAGAUACCCUGGUAGUCCACGCUGUAAACGUUGGGCGCUAGGUGUGGGGGGCCUCUCCGGUUCCCUGUGCCGCAGCUAACGCAUUAAGCGCCCCGCCUGGGGAGUACGGCCGCAAGGCUA